ACAGACUUAAUGUACAAUAGAGCUCAACAUCUGGAGAGCUGUGACAAAAAAACAAAACAUGAAAACCCAUAAAGACUACACACAACGCACUCCUGGGAGAUGUAAUGCGGUCGGUGUCAAUUACCCAUGAGCUCAAGUUUACUAAAACUUACAAGUACCAUAAGAGAAAGGCUGCUAUAUAUAUGCUGCGCCAUCGUCAUAACCCUAGAUUGGAAGAAAACAAACCGAGUACCAAAACCACCCGUUACAUAAUGGAACUCUAGUUUGUCUUCCCACUUUCUUUACCAUCUCCUCUAACAUAUAUUUGUCAAAUAUAUAUUUUGCGCAACUUGAUUCACUUUGCUUUAACAGAAACAGUUAAUGUAUGUUAUAAUAACAGGGCCUCUAACACUUCCGUUUGCUAAAUAAAUAAAACAAGCAUCAAGUGGACCUUUAAUUUGUGGUAUUUUGAGGGUCCGAUGCAGCUAUAUUUUUAGAGGGGACGGACAGACUGGCCUUCUGUUUUAAACCUCCCAUCCCCUCCUCAAC
rnacentral:lncRNA from 1 species